AAAAGAGACGGUGUGCUCGUCUCUGGGCUUGAAGAAACGUUACAGUCGAUAUUAAACCGUCAACCGACGCAAGCGACUGAGCUAUGUCCACCAGUGGUGUCACCACAACAGUGCUCAGCAACACCACCGCGAGGGGAUCGGCCCUUUGCACCGACAUGCGCAACACCAUCGGAUUUGCUGCUUUCUUCCUUAAGCGACACUCGUUACCACCUGGUACUGACGGAAACGAGAACGCUCCGGUGCCAAGUUCAAGCAGCGCAUGCGAGUCAAGCACUGAUCUGGUACUUAAUCAGGUGACCGACAAACUAGUAAGUGCGUUGAGCACAAUUCUGACUACGGAGAUCGAGUAUCUAUGCCGAGUCAUUAGCAAUGGUCAAGAUAUGAAGACAUCGUGCUUUGCGAGGUUGACUCGCAAGGGUGUGCAUUUCAAUGGCGGCGAUUUUGCAUUUGUGCCAAGCUGUUGGUAAGCUAGACUCCUGUAUGCGCGGACCAUAUGUGGUUUUAGCGACGUUGUCGCAGGACAGAUAUGAACUAAAAUUAGUCGCUGGUUCUUAUGGUAAAGCUGCCGCGGAAUACAUGUUGCCCUGGCGCGGGGAAUGGACCCCUGAUGUGUGUGCCGCAUUCUUUGAGAGUGGCGCUGAUGAUGACGAUAGUCC